AUUGAACGCUGGCGGCAGGCUUAACACAUGCAAGUCGAGCGAGCGGCGGACGGGUGAGUAAUGUCUGGGAAACUGCCUGAUGGAGGGGGAUAACUACUGGAAACGGUAGCUAAUACCGCAUACCAUCAGAUGACCCCAUAUGGGAUUAGCUAGUAGUUGGGGUAAUGGCUCACCUAGGCGACGAUCCCUAGCUGGUCUGAGAGGUUGACCAGCCACACUGUAACUGAGACACGGUCCAGACUCCUACGUGAGGCAGCAGUGGGGAAUAUUGCACAAUGGGCGCAAGCCUGAUGCAGCCAGGCCGCGUGUGUGAAGAAGGCCUUAGGGUUGUAAAGCACUUUCAGCGAGGAGGCGUUACUCGCAGAAGAAGCACCGGCUAACUCCGUGCCAGCAGCCGCGUUAAUUC
rnacentral:rRNA from 1 species